rnacentral:lncRNA from 1 species
UUUUUCCUCGAUAAAUCAUUUAAAAAAAAACAGACGAAAAUGAACGAACCCUAAAUAUACUUUAAACAUCAUGAUUUGUCGCAGUAAACGAGGUGUCCUCAUAUCAAGCCAAAACGAAAAAUAUUUCCUUAAGAGGUCCAAAAACUGAUUUAUCUCUGGGCUGAUGUUUAUUAAGUGGAUGUAAUUGAAGAAUAAAUAUAAUGGCAGUUUUAAAAGCUAAACUAUAGAAGACAUUAACUGGAGAGAGAGAGAGACUUUGAUCAGCAUUGUUUAUAAAGAGCUUGAUACGGAAUGUAACUACUAGUAAAGCUAAAGAAAUACUUGAUGUGACGUCGUAUAAAUAUGUACAUAUGUACAUAUAUCAAAGUACAUAUGUAUGUAGCUGUUUCGUAACAAUAAGGUCCGAAAACAUAUAUACUUUUGGCUGAUAAUGGUUUAAAGUGAUGGCGGAUUCAAAAACUAAACUAGCAAUUUUGGACUAUGCCAUUAACUCGGGAGUGUGACGUAACUCUACAGACGCAGGAACCAGAACAGGCACUUGCCACCCGGGCACGUCAGUAAGCAUCGUCUGGAAACCAAGGUCGCUUUGGAAACUCUCGUCCCAUAAAUGCCGUUAUUGGAGCCCAAUCCCUACCAAUUCCAUACAAUGAGCUUCUUCGGCUGCAAUCAGAGGCCCGCGUUACUUUGGCCCAGUUAAGGUCUGAAUACAGCAGUACUGGAGACUCCCCGCAAGUCGUACACGAGAGCGGCCAAAAAUAGAAAAAGUUAAGUUAGCAAAUUCGGAAAACUUUUAAUGCCAAUCGACAGUAAAUCCUCGAGUAUAAAAAACCGAAAUAUUACCGAAAAAUUUGAAUUAAUGCUACUUUCGUUUUCCAAAGUUGAGAGUUUAUAAAAUAAAAUAAAGUAAUAAGAAGAGUGCAACUUCACAACAAGCUUUUCAGGCGUGCCGCGAUUUUCAGGCUUUCAGCUACCCAAUUCAGCUAUUGACGAAAACCUGAAAAGCGCCGAGCGCCCGAAAAGCUUGUUGUGGUGUGGUACUCUUAACAGCUUUUAUAUGCUGUUUCCAAAACGUUGUAACUUUUUUUUAUUUAU